UUUGGGAGACGAGUGGUAGACUCAGGGCAUGUUCAUUAUGUGAAACUACAUAUUGGUUUAUUUAUUUCAGCUAUACUUUGUAGCGUCAUAUUUGUAUCGUGUAUUUUUUAUCUGCGCGUGUCGGUUUUAAACUGCCUGCUGUGCCAGUGCACACUUCGUAGUGCUCUAAAGUAUUCUGCCUAACAAGAUUCUGUUAGAUCUUUAAAAAUUCAGCUGUAACUUACAUGAAACUCUUGUAAAUAAACGAACGCCAUUUGGAACUUGGUUAGUUGUAUAUUCACAGAUCUAUGGCUAAACAUCUCUUACUGGUUUCAGACUACUCAAAACACGUCUUUGCCCUGUCCGCAGAGCAUCCUGGGAUAUGUAGUUUUCUGCCAUGUAAAUGAUUGCCGUUCCUAAUGUUUGUAUUUUAGUUCUUAUAUUAUUUUGGAGGAGGACACAGCCACUUGCAGAAGAACAACUGAUUAAAUCUACAUCAAAGAAAAUGAAGGGUGAAUAACAGAUUCAAGACAACACCAAGAAAAAGAAGAGGAAGAGGAAGAAAACGGAAAGAAUGUUUCAUCACACAGGAGAGAUCAGAGGGAACGGGCGAUAAGGAGUCCAACAAAAACAAGAAGAGAAGAAAGAAGAAGAAAACUAUCACAGAUGUGCUGACGAGCUCUGAGCCUGUGCGGGGCUCCCCAGCUGACCUUCUGAGCCUUUUGAAGAGUCACCACAGCCAGACCCGCUCUGUUAUUGAGCAGGGUGACCCGACGCUAAGCGUCAGCUGAUGGUGUUCAAAGACAAGCUAAAGUGCUGAAGCUGUUCGCAAAACACAUCAAGGUUGAUGAACAGAUAAAGUCAUUGAGUAAAGG